ACGAGGGUUGGGAUUUGGGGCAUUACCAUCUAAGGUUGAUGCACAAGUACACCAAAAUGAGCACGUGAGAAAACUUGAAGGCAAGGUGCUGGACUUAGAACAACAACUCAAUGAGAUAAGAGCCAUGCUUAUCAAAGAAAGAACGCAAAAUGAUGGUACCAAUCCCUCCCAAAGAGGCUUCGAUCUACUCCAAUCUAUUCCAAUCUACUCCUCAUGACAACCUUUGAACUUCAUUGGUUAUGUUACUGAAAGCAUUGAAGCUAUGAAAUUAUCUAAACGUGGUGGUUCUUCAAUUGCAAACCUUCCAACUGGUUUAGAUAUGGAUCAAAGUAAUGGUGUGUCAAGCUUAGAGAAUGUCAAAUGCAAGUUGUUGGAUUGGGAGGGACGAACUCGGUGGUUGCAGAAGGCUAAAUUACAUUAAGGGAUCCCAAGUCAAAGGUGCAUCAUAUGACUCUUGGACCUUUAUGUUGGAAAGUAUGGGUGAACCACGUAACAGUCAACGUGCCAUUGUUUCGUUCUACUCAUGAAAUGUAUGAUUUUUAAAAUGCAAUAGGAAGUACAGUUGCAUGGCCUAGUCAAUUCAUUCUUUUAGACUAAAUAUUAGACUAACUGAUUUACAAUUUGUAGUUAUACUUUUUGGAUGUUUAAAGUCAUAUUUUAGAGAUUAGUGAAUCUUAUGAUUUGAAUACUUUUUUUGAUUUGUAUGUUUGAGGUUGUUAUUAGCUUGAUAUGAUAGAAGUUGAUGAUGAAAGUUAGUAUGCAGGUUGUUUGGUGUAUGGAUAUUAGAUUUUUUUGCUUACCUCAUAGUUGUUGCUUCUGCUUGGUUUGUUAACAGA